UACGGAGGGUGCGAGCGUUGUCCGGAAUCACUGGGCGUAAAGGGCGCGUAGGCGGCGCGAGCAGUCGGCGGUGAAAGCCCGGAGCUCAACUCCGGGUCGGCCGUCGAUACUCUCGUGCUUGAGCACUGUAGAGGCAGGUGGAAUUCCGGGUGUAGCGGUGGAAUGCGUAGAGAUCCGGAAGAACACCGGUGGCGAAGGCGGCCUGCUGGGCAGUAGCUGACGCUGAGACGCGAAAGCGUGGGGAGCAAGCAGG
rnacentral:rRNA from 1 species